AGUGUUGGAAAUAGCUUUGGUUGGUUUCAAAGAGCUUGGAUUCAGGCUUUUGGCAAGCUUUUGCUUGGGUAUUAUAGAAGAUUUAGGUGAGAAGUUUUGAAAUGUACCCCCAUGUUGUGGUUUUGGUGAGUGUCUUGAACCUUAGAUGAUUUAUUUUUAUAUUUCUUGUUGGCGCAAAGUUGAUUAUGUCUUUGUGGUUGAUACAGUGCUUUGCAGAAUAAUGUGCACAGCUUUCCCUAGAUUUUGCGACUGCAAUAUUAUAUGAUGAAUUUAUUGGUAGUGAUCUUCUCCAUGGAAAUUCUUACCUGUUGUGUUCAUGCUGUCCAGGAUGAUGAGUGAUUACAAUGUGG
rnacentral:misc_RNA from 1 species